ACGUACACUCCUGCGGGAGGCAGCAGUGGGGAAUAUUGGACAAUGGGCGCAAGCCUGAUCCAGCUAUGCCGCGUGAGUGAUGAAGGCCCUAGGGUUGUAAAGCUCUUUCACCGGUGAAGAUAAUGACGGUAACCGGAGAAGAAGCCCCGGCUAACUUCGUGCCAGCAGCCGCGGUAAUACGAAGGGGGCUAGCGUUGUUCGGAUUUACUGGGCGUAAAGCGCACGUAGGCGGACUAUUAAGUCAGGGGUGAAAUCCCGGGGCUCAACCCCGGAACUGCCUUUGAUACUGGUAGUCUUGAGUUCGAGAGAGGUGAGUGGAAUUCCGAGUGUAGAGGUGAAAUUCGUAGAUAUUCGGAGGAACACCAGUGGCGAAGGCGGCUCACUGGCUCGAUACUGACGCUGAGGUGCGAAAGCGUGGGGAGCAAACAGGAUUAGAAACCCUAGUAGUCCCAUGAU
rnacentral:rRNA from 1 species